UCGGAUUCUUGGGACCGCUGGGACUGUCGGGACUGUCGGGACCGUCGGGACCGUAGGGACUGUCGGGAUUCUUGGGACUGUCGGGACCGUCGAGACCGUAGGGACUGUCGGGAUUCUUGGGACCGCUGGGACUGUUGGGACUUACGGGAUUGUUGGGACAGGCCAUUGGGACCGUUGGGACAGUUGUGACAGGCCAGUGGGACAGUUGGGACAGGCCAGUGGGACCGUUGAGACAGUUGGGACUGUUGGGACAGGCCAUUGGGACCGUUGGGACAGUUGUGACAGGCCAUUGGGACCAUUGGGACAGUUGGGACCACUGGUACAGUUGGGACCAUUGGGACAGUUGGGACCCUUGACAGACAAUAAAUGAGAGACAUUUUGAUGACUUCUUUUUCUAUGUACCAAAUUAUUUUUUAAUUAUUCAUUUUCUUGUGAUACAAUCAGGAGACUUUGGACCAGGUUCUUUUCGUCUAUGUGUCCAACAUGGGACCAUCACCAAUCCUGUUCUCACUCCAUUCAGGAUCAAUUUCAAGCUCACAAAGGUUAAAAAACUGGCAUUUUAAAGGGUCAUUUCGUCUUUUUUUCCAAACUCGACCCAGCUUUUCUAUGUCAGUCUUUGAAAUUGGUCCAGUACCGGUCUGCACUGUAACCCUAUAGCACAAAUGUGCAAUCAAUUUCAAUUUCUGCCCACUAAAAGUUCUGUUUUUUCCUCUGACAAACUCAGAUUAUAAGUGUCUGACAACAUUAUGGAAAGGAUCCCUACAGAGAUAGACCUGGUUGUUACAGAGUAAGAUCCGUUUAGUUUAACAUGAAACAGCCCCAAAAUCACCAUCACCAAACCCACCAGACUCCAUGUAAAUAAUCACUACUUUUAGCGUGUGUAGAGCAGCAUAUCUCAACCAGACUCCAUGUAAAUAAUCACUACUUUUAGCGUGUAUAGAGCAGCAUAUCUCAACCAGACUCCAUGUAAAUAAUCACUACUUUUAGCAUGUAUAGAGCAGCAUAUCUCCACCAGACUCCAUGUAUAUAAUCACUACUUUUAGCAUGUAUAGAGCAGCAUAUCUCCACCAGACUCCAUGUAAUAAUCACUACUUUUAGCAUGUAUAGAGCAGCAUAUCUCCACCAGACUCCAUGUAAUAAUCACUACUUUUAGCGUGUAUAGAGCAGCAUAUCUCCACCAGACUCCCUGUAAAUAAACACUCAUCUCAUCAUCUCUAGGGAUCCUUUCCAUAAUGUUGUAAAACAUUUAAAAUUAUAGUCUUAGCCUUUCAGUGGCAAAACAGCACUUUAAGUGGACGUAAAUUCAAAGUACCCAAUUGCAACUGUUACCGUUACAUUGCAGCAUGCGGGCUAGCUUAAUAUUGGACCAAUGUCAACGAUUGUUGUUCCCAUCAGUCACUUAAACACAAAAACAUAGAAAAAUAGGGUUGAAAAACAUGAAGUUACCCUUUAAAGAGACCAAUUGGCCCUAAUAAGCCAGCAGAUUAAAUGACAUUCAUGUCUAUGCUAACGGUAGUCAACCAGACGGCGUUGGUACGGACUGACUUCAUCUAAACACCCGUUUCCGAGUUAUAACUGUUGUGAGAAACCAAACUAACACGUUAACAUUUAAAAUGUCUUAGUGUCCUUUAGAGAACUGCUGGAAGUGUACGUGCGGUACGUGAUUUUUAACUGUAUUACUAAUCAACCUGAAUGUCGGGAAUAUUAGCCACUGAGUAGUUAUGUAACCUCUUUAUCUACUCUAUCUACAUAUAUAUAUAUAUAUAUAUAUAUAUAUAUAUAGAUAUAUAUAUAUAUAUAUAUAUAUAUAAUAUAUAUAUAUAUAUAUAUAUAUAUAUAUUGUUACCUAUAAUCUGUACAUAAACACUGGACAUUAAAACGAUGGACCUCUGA